UGUAAAUGAGUGCGCACAAGACCUAACUUUGGACAAUCAUAUAUCCAGUUAUAUAAGGAGUUGUGUGAUCCACAAACUAUCAAAUUACAUCCCUUUGGGUCUAGUUUCCGAUGCAACAAACCAUUCGUCAUUUUGAGGUGUAAACAGAAAGUUAUGACCAUUUUACUGGGCAUAUGUCUCUAGAGCGCCCAGAUGCGCAAUUGCGCUAGUGAACUCACAUAUUGCGAAGUUUUCUGCCUUCGUCGCGCUACUUUAGCGCGCCCAGGUGCACAACCGCGCUAGUAGCAGGCCCCUAAAUACCCCAAGACCGGGUAUAGAGAGUUCCCAAGUUAUUUUUGGAGCAAGGGCUUGCUCUCUCAAGAGGAAUCCGUCCCACUCAUCAUUUCUAUGAUCCAAGAUUUUCCUUCAAAUCCUUGAAUUUAUCAAGAACACCACAAGUGGGGAUUCUUAAAAUUCGUACUACAAGAGAUUGAAGUUACCUAAGAGUAGUGGAUCAUUGUUGUACCAUUAAAGGGCAAGUCCCAGAUAUGUAUGGCUAAACCCCGUCUUUUAGAAAUCGAGCUUCAUCAAUGUUUGUGUGAUUUUGGAUAGAUUCGAUGCGCG